GACGAACGCUGGCGGCGUGCUUAACACAUGCAAGUCGAACGGAAAGGCUCCAGCUUGCUGGAGUGCUCGAGUGGCGAACGGGUGAGUAACACGUGGGCAAUCUUCCCUGCACUCUGGGAUAAGCCUGGGAAACUGGUUCUAAUACCUGAUAGGACCUUUCUCCUCAUGGGGUUUGGUGGACAGUUUUUCGGUGCAGGAUGAGCCCGCGGCCUAUCAGCUUGUUGGUGGGGUAAUGGCCUACCAAGGCGACGACGGGUAGCCGGCCUGAGAGGGUGAUCGGCCACAUGGGGACUGAGAUACGGCCCAGACUCCUACGGGAGGCAGCAGUGGGGAAUAUUGCACAAUGGGCGAAAGCCUGAUGCAGCGACGCCGCGUGAGGGAUGACGGCCUUCGGGUUGUAAACCGCUUUCAGUAGGGACGAAGCGCAAGUGACGGUACCUGCAGAAGAAGCACCGGCUAACUACGUG
rnacentral:rRNA from 1 species